AAAAUAACUUAGUAAACUCAGUUAACUUAGAUCAACUAAGAAAACUGAGACAAAUUCGGCGGUAGCUCAGCGGUAGAGCAGUUGGCUGUGAGAAAAGCAGCUCUCGAUAGAAAUAUCGGGAUGAAAACGAGGUGAAUUGCUGGAAGUCCUCAUUCCAACGGUGGAGCAGGAUAAUCAGCAGCCAAUCUUUUGUUCAGGGAGAGAACAGUGCUUUCGCACUGUAACCCUGUCGGAAGCAGGUUCAGAGACUAUCCAUUUAUUGGAGUACCUUGUGCCGGACGUACAUUGUCUGUCCGAUACUGGGGAAGCGCCUCGCACCCUAACGUUUCCGAUUCAAUCGGAAUUUGGCGAGGGUGAUAAUAUAGUCCAUCCUUUUGGGAAACCGGAAG
rnacentral:ncRNA from 1 species